UGCACUUGCUGGAUGUGUGGAUGUGUGGA
rnacentral:piRNA from 1 species